rnacentral:tRNA from 1 species
CACCUCGAGGAGGAACCCAUCCCCCUGAAGUCUUAUCAGAUGGCAUUCCACGUCCCAUUUGUCCAGAAAUAUUGGACCCAGGAAAGUUAGGAGGCCCUCCUCUAUCAGAAC